rnacentral:rRNA from 1 species
UACGAAGGGGGCUAGCGUUGUUCGGAAUUGCUGGGCGUAAAGCGCACGUAGGCGGAUAUUUAAGUCGGGGGUGAAAUCCCGGGGCUCAACCCCGGAACUGCCUUCGAUACUGGGUAUCUUGAGUUCGGAAGAGGUGAGUGGAAUUGCGAGUGUAGAGGUGAAAUUCGUAGAUAUUCGCAGGAACACCAGUGGCGAAGGCGGCUCACUGGUCCGAUACUGACGCUGAGGUGCGAAAGCGUGGGGAGCAAACAGGG